rnacentral:rRNA from 1 species
UAAGACAGAGGUGGCAAGCGUUAUCCGGAUUCACUGGGCGUAAAGGGCGUCUAGGCGGCCGAGCAAGUCACCUGUGAAAGCCCUCGACUCAACUGAGGGUCGUCAGGUGAUACUGUCCGGCUUGGGUGCAGGAGAGGGGAGUGGAACUACCGGAGUAGCGGUGAAAUGCGCAGAUACCGGUAGGUACCCCGAUGGCGAAGGCAACUCCCUGGCCUGCUACCGACGCUGAAGCGCGAAAGCGUGGGGAGCGAAAGGGAUUAGAUACCCCUGUAGUCCACGCCGCAAACGAUGCGGGCUAGGUGUUGGGCCUCCAAAUAAUGGCUCAGUGCCGCAGCUAACGCGUUAAGCCCGCCGCCCGGGGACUACGGCCGCAAGGCUA